rnacentral:pre_miRNA from 1 species
UUAGUUCAUAUUUGUAUGAAAUGGGAUCGUUUGCGUGCGUUUGCCGCUAGUGGCGCUGUUCCAAUUGCAUACAAAAUUGGCUUA